rnacentral:rRNA from 1 species
UACGUAGGGUGCGAGCGUUAAUCGGAAUUACUGGGCGUAAAGCGUGCGCAGGCGGUUUUGUAAGCCAGAUGUGAAAUCCCCGGGCUUAACCUGGGAAUGGCAUUUGGGGACUGCAAGGCUUGAGUGCGGCAGAGGAGACUGGAAUUCCUGGUGUAGCAGUGAAAUGCGUAGAUAUCAGGAGGAACACCGAUGGCGAAGGCAGGGUCUCUGGGCUGGACACUG